rnacentral:ncRNA from 2 species
UAUAGCGGGAGAGGCGCAACACUCAGGCAACUUAUUUUAGGUAACUAGGCCGUUUGAGAAUAAGUGAUGGGAGUGAUUGCCGAGGUGUGAAUUCACUAGAUCAGGAAUGAACAUCGGCUAAGCAGGUUGAAUCCUAUUAGCUGUCGUUUAAAUCGGUUUCAAGCCGUUUGAAUGGAGUGCUCUUAAAGUU